GGAUGUGAGGUCAAUCUGGCUGCAACAUCUGUCACCACAUUGAUCACCAGGGUUGAUUCGGCUGAUCUGGCUGGCUAGGUGGGUGUCACCUUGCCCCCUCAGGGCUCCAUGUGAGUCCCUCCUGAAGCCGCAUGCUCCAUCCAAGGGGAUGACCUUCCCUGAUAGAGGAGGACCUUUCUUCUGUCAGGGGUGUACCAGUAGCGGUGCUUCCCCUGCUAGAACUUCCAAACAAGCUCUCAAAUGUUAAUUGGCCGCUAUUUAUGUUAGUGGGCUUAUUUGGCAUUGCUCCCUCCCCAAUAGAAGUAGCCUGGUUAUUUUUU
rnacentral:snRNA from 1 species